UUAGAUAAAAAGCCAGUUCAUGCUUUUAUAGUAUGAAAAUUGGUGAUUUAUAAUAACUUAGCAAAUCGCAAAGUGAAAACAGGCGAUAAAUCAUUCAAGUUUCUGACCUAUCAGCUUUCGACGGUAUGGUAUUGGCUUACCGUGGCAGUGACGGUUAACGGGGGAUUAGGGUUCGAUUCCGGAGAGGGAGCCUGAGAAACGGCUACCACAUCUAAGGAAGGCAGCAGGCGCGCAAAUUACCCAAUUCUAACAGUUUGAGAGAGGUAGUAACAAGAAAUAACAAUACAAGGCAGUUAAAAUGCUUUGUAAUUGGAAUGAUAGAAAUUUAAACCCUUUUUAAAGUAUCAAUUGGAGGGCAAGUCUGGUGCCAGCAGCCGCGGUAAUUCCAGCUCCAAUAGCGUAUAUUAAAAUUGUUGCAGUUAAAAAGCUCGUAGUUGAAGUUCUGCUGAAAGUAACCGGUCUGCUUUUAAUAAAAGUGGUAUCUUGGUAUGUAUUUAGCAAUGAUGUCCUUUGAAGUGUUUUUUACUUUAUUGUAAUAAAGCAUAUUCAGGACUUUUACUUUGAGAAAAUUAGAGUGUUUCUA
rnacentral:rRNA from 1 species